CUCCAGACUCCUACGGGAGGCAGCAGUGAGGGGUAUUGGGCAAUGGGGGAAACCCUGACCCAGCGACGCCGCGUGAGGGAAGACGGUCUUCGGAUUGUAAACCUCUGUCUUUGGGGACGAAAAAGGACGGUACCCAAGGAGGAAGCUCCGGCUAACUACGUGCCAGCAGCCGCGGUAAUACGUAGGGAGCGAGCGUUGUCCGGAAUUACUGGGUGUAAAGGGAGCGUAGACGGAUGGAUAAGUCUGAAGUGAAAAGCCGCGGCUCAACUGCGGGACUGCUUUGGAAACUGUGCAUCUUGAGUACGGGAGGGGCAGGCGGAAUUCCUGGUGUAGCGGUGAAAUGCGUAGAUAUCAGGAGGAACACCGGCGGCGAAGGCGGCCUGCUGGACCGAAACUGACGUUGAGGCUCGAAAGCGUGGGAGCAAACAGGAUUAGAUACCCCAGACG
rnacentral:rRNA from 1 species